AUUAUAAUUGUGCACGAUGAUAAUAUUGUUGUUUAUUAUAUUAUUUUUGAUCUUAUUUUGUAUUACCUAUAAUUCUUACCAUAAUACCGUGGUUUUAUGUCUAUCAAAGAAUUUAAACCAGUAAAUACAAAAAUGAGAAAUUUUUGAAAGCAAUUUUUCAUUGGCAUAAUAACAUUUAUUAAUUCUUCUAUUGUUUUUACUUUUUUACAAUGUAUACUGUGAACUGCUAAGUUAAUCAAAUUCAAACUAUUAUUAUUUUACUGUGUGUUGUUAUUCUUGAAAUAAACCCUACGUUUGCUUUUUCAGGUCCUUUGGGUAGCCUUUUCCGCGGCGUUUGUCAUUAACGUGUCACAAUGAAAUUCAAAUUCUGUGGGGGUGGUGACUGCCCAGAAUGGUUAUUGGUUCAGAUCAAUGCUCUAUCAAGAAUGACAUCGAUUAAAAUGAAACUGUUAGCCCAGUGCACGGUAAAUUCAUUGCUCGGAGAACCAUUCAACUUUGAAAAAGCUAAGGAGCUUAUGGCUGAUGCUAAACUGGAUGUUGAAAAUUGUAAAGCAUGUGUAGCUGCAAUCACGUAUAUUCUAAAAAAUGCUUCCUGUCAUGCUGUUUCUCAAAAUUAUCUGUCUAACGAACUACAACAAAUUGGUUUGCCACGUGAACAUGCUUCAGCGCUAUGUAGAGUAUAUUUGGACAACUUAUCUCAAAUAACUAAAGUGUUGAAGAAUGAAUCUUUGCAAAUUGGUCGUUUGAAUAAUGUUGAUAUAUCCAAAGGAAAUGAUGGCGAAUAUGUGAUGAAAUUAAAUUAUAAUAAUACAUCUACAAUUUCGGAAGAAAAUAAAUUCACAUUAACUAAGGAACAAAUUCAACUUUUAAUUGCUGUUUUUCAAUAACUUCAUCGGUACUUAUUCCUUCUUCUCGGUGGCAUGAUAACCAAUUGCCGUCACAUUUAUUAUUGGUUACUGAGUUCAAUGGUUACAAAAAAAAGUCAAGGGGAUAUCCACCCCUCUCCCCACUCUACAUGCGCUUCUUCAAGAGUAGUUGUUGAGUUCAACACCUAUCAUCCAUAGAAAUAUAGAAUGAUGUAAAUAGGUUUGAUGUUUUGACUGGCUCCUAUAGGCUAUAAUUAUAGCUUAAACAUGAAGUAAUGGAAAGAGCUACUUUGAUGUUAGUAUCUACAUAUUUAUUCAAUCCUUAGAUUAUUUAAUGCACAUUUUCACUAAAAUAUGUACAUGAUAUCUAUGAGAUUAUUUUCAAAACCCACCUGCGUACAACAUUAACACAAUAUGUAAUAAAUUUUAACUUUUUUAAUUUAUUUAAAAAAAUUUUAAGAUUAUUCAUAUUGACACAAUUAUACAGUUUCAAUCAGUCUUUAAAACUACAUUUAUGCACAUUACAUUAUUGUCCGUUACAAUAGGUAUAUUUAUGAAUUGUUAUUAUUUUCAGAGUUCAACGACGUUAGCAAUCAAAUGAAUGAACUA